rnacentral:sRNA from 2 species
UGCAAAAUAUGGCCAAAUCCCGAGGCACUCGGGAACGGAGGACCCAAUCAGUAGGGGUUAAUCCCACGAAUGAAUCGUGGGAGGGAUGAGAAACUCUUUCGCCAUCCUACCCGUCAGCUAACUUCGUCGGCUAAAGCGAGGGAGGUC